GGCUCUAUGAUUUGUUUGUGUAUACGCUAUGCUGAGUUUUUGAUGCUGAAGUUUCAAUCGUAUGAGAGCC
rnacentral:snoRNA from 1 species